rnacentral:rRNA from 1 species
CCAAUAGCGUAUAUUAAGGUUGCUGCGGUUAAAAAGCUCGUAGUUGAAUUUCGGGAUUGAUACAUUGGUCGUGCCUUAAGGGGUAUGAGCUGGUGUGGUCAAUUUCUUACCUUCUGGUGAAUUGUGAUGUCCUCCUUAAUUGGGUGUUUCAAUGAACUAGGACUUUUUACUUUGAAAAAAUUAGAGUGUUUAAAGCAGGCAUUAUUUGCUUGAAUACAUUAGCAUGGAAUAAUAAAAUAGGACAAUGAUUCUAUUUUGUUGGUUUCUAGGAUCACUGUAAUGAUUAAUAGGGAUAGUUGGGGGCAUUAGUAUUCAAUUGUCAGAGGUGAAAUUCUUGGAUCAAUUGAAGACUAACUACUGCGAAAGCAUUUGCCAAGGAUGUUUUCAUUAAUCAAGAACGAAAGUUAGGGGAUCGAAGACGAUUAGGUACGUCGUAGUCUUAACCAUAAACUAUGCCGACUAGGAAUCAGACAACGUUAAAUUUUUAAUGACUUGUUUGGCACCUUACG